AGCGUUCCCAAGCACCUAUUUUUCAGGACGCAACGGCUGCGCCCUGAGAUGAAAAUAGUUAAACUUUUGGAACGCUGCAGCACGCACAGCAUGUCAUGUGACGAGGAACAACCAAUCAGAGCUGGCAGAUAUCUUCUUCCGUAAAUAUCAGUCUACGAUAAAUAUGGAGGAGAAGUUAAUCAUUUUAGUGCAAAGCCAGAGCUUUAUGAUUUGUCCCACAAACUAUUUUACUUACUUCACCCUUUCCGUCCAAGAACAGAGAAAUCAAGCAGUAAAGCUACUGUGAGGGAUUUACGGUGCUGGAAAUCCAUUUAUUUUUGUUUUGACUGAGUUUAGUUUUGUCAGUGAGGCUUACUGCAAAAUUACCGCAACUUUAUCAUCAUCGUCGUCAUAGCGCACAGGUUUUGUUUUGAAGAUUUAUACU